rnacentral:rRNA from 1 species
AUUGAACGCUGGCGGCAGGCCUAACACAUGCAAGUCGAACGAGUGGCGGACGGGUGAGUAAUGUCUGGGAAACUGCCCGAUGGAGGGGGAUAACUACUGGAAACGGUAGCUAAUACCGCAUACCAUCGGAUGUGCCCAGAUGGGAUUAGCUGGUAGGUGGGGUAAAGGCCCACCUAGGCGACGAACACUAGCUGGUCUGAGAGGAUGACCAGCCACACUGGAACUGAGAAACGGUCCAGACUCCUACGGGAGGCAGCAGUGGGGAAUAUUGCACAAUGGGCGCAAGCCUGAUGCAGCCAUGUCGCGUGUAUGAAGAAGGCCUUAGGGUUGUAAAGUACUUUCAGCGGGGAGGCGUUACCCGCAGAAGAAGCACCGGCUAACUCCGUGCCAGCAGCCGCGGUAAUUC